CCUACGGGAGGCUGCAGUAGGGAAUCUUUCACAAUGGGCGAAAGCCUGAUGGAGCAACGCCGCGUGCAGGAUGAAGGCCUUCGGGUUGUAAACUGCUUUUAUCAGCGAGGAAUAAGAUGGUAAUUUAUGAAUAAGAAUCGGCUACCUACGUGCCAGCAGCCGCGGCCAUACGUAGGAGGCGAGCAUUAUCCGGAGUGACUGUGUGUAAAGAGUUGCGUAGGUGGGAUAAUAAAGAGCUAGUGAAAUCUGCGGGGUCAAACAUUCAGACUGUUAGCUAAACUGUUAAGCUCGAGAGCGGUAGAGGUAACUGGAAUUUCUAGUGUAGGGGUGAAAUGCGUAGAUAUUAGGAAGAACACCAAUGGCGUAGGCAGGUUACUGGAACGGGUCUGACGCUGAGGCACGAAAGCGUAGGGAGCAAACGGGAUUAGAUACCCUAGUAGUC
rnacentral:rRNA from 1 species